GAUGAACGCUGGCGGCGUGCCUAAUACAUGCAAGUCGAGCGAACAGACGAGGAGCUUGCUCCUCUGACGUUAGCGGCGGACGGGUGAGUAACACGUGGAUAACCUACCUAUAAGACUGGGAUAACUUCGGGAAACCGGAGCUAAUACCGGAUAAUAUAUUGAACCGCAUGGUUCAAUAGUGAAAGACGGUUUUGCUGUCACUUAUAGAUGGAUCCGCGCCGCAUUAGCUAGUUGGUAAGGUAACGGCCUACCAAGGCAACGCUGCGUAGCCGACCUGAGAGGGUGAUCGGCCACACUAGAACUGAGACACGGUCCAGACUCCUACGGGAGGCAGCCGUAGGGAAUCUCCCGCAAUGGGCUAAAGCCUGACGGAGCAACGCCGCGUGAGUGAUGAAGGUCUUCGGAUCGUAAAACUCUGUUAUUAGGGAAGAACAAAUGUGUAAGUAACUAUGCACGUCUUGACGGUACCUAACCAGAAAGCCACGGCUAACUACGUG
rnacentral:rRNA from 1 species